UCUGCAAAGGAGAGCAGAGUUGUCAGGUUAUUAGAUAAAGCUGCUGUGACCUCCACCUCUUCAGGCUCACACCUCAGAUCAACCCAGCUCCUCAGCCAAGAGUCGGAUGCACGGUGCUUGAGUCACGCAAAAGAGCAUGUAGGCAAGCUAGCAGCCUACAUGGGAGCAUGAGAGACCAAUAGAGUUGAAAUCUGGAUGAUUUUAGACCUCAACUGAUUCCAAAGAUACAGAUUUAUCCAAUUACAGGUCUGUAAUGCUGAAUCCUUGGGAAAUGUAAAUACAUUUCACAACCGCACCCCCAAACACGCCUGGGAAAACCCAGGGAAUCGUGCAAUAUCUGCCUGAAGCCAGGCUGUCUUCUGUCAGUUGAAAGCAGAGGAUCAGCUGUGAACACGUUCUCCUCUGCCACUCCUGGGCUGUUCUGUGGCAGCCUAUUCCACUCACCUUCUUGAGGUUGAGACCAUGGGAGAUGUUGUCUGCUGUCAUGAAGGCUGCAAGCAGAUGUGUGAUGGCCCCAGCUUCCCCACAGUGUGGACGGAAGAGGAACGUGUUCAUACCACGCUGCCUAAGCACAUGGAAGGAGGACUCAGAGCAGGAAGCAUCUUUUUCAAGGACAAAGUCAACAAAGAAGUUAUGAUGAACCACACUGCAGACAAAGACAAACCUAAAGCAAGAAGCAUGACAAUAGACUAGUGAAGUCAUUAAAAUUGGGCUCUGGAACAAGCCUAUAGUAUGUCUCAAGGCCUGUCUCACCCCUUACUGGUGUGAUAGUGGACAUACAUAACACAGCUGUUCAUGCUGCGUUACAGAAUCAACGACCUGAGUAAAUCCAAACCCUGUGAAGAAAGCAGAUAGCACCAAUAACACCGAUAAGCUUUCUGUAAGUCAGUUAUGUGAUCCCACCCCCAGAUCACUACCACAAAAGAAACAACCAAAGAAUUCACAAAGUUUAUUCUUUAAAAAAGUUAUUUAAGAAGCAAAAUAAUUUACUCCAAACCAACAGAGAUGCAUUACUGAAAGCAGGUAAUUAUACAAGGUAACAACAAAUUAGCCCUUAGAUUCAAAAAAAAAAAAAAGAAAAAAGUCCACAUCCCACCAGUGUCCAGCCGUCCCGGAGGCUGCACACAGUCACUAACGAAGGACUACGUACAGGAUUAGAACACGAUAGAAACCUUGUUCAAUCUCCCUCCCCACACAGGCCUGAAGUUGCUUGAAAUCCAAUUAUUUCUAAAUCACUUAACUGUGCUAAAAAACAUGUCUCCUUCAGCAUCACGGUUACCAUCCAAAGUGUUUCUGAAUGAAAGCAAAAUCUGAGCAAUGCUUUUUGAAUACAACCACAGAGCAGGGCACUAACAUCAACCAGCCACGGCGUUGCACUGUCUUGUUAAAUGGCUGUUCUCAGUCAACAGUAACAAUUAUUUUAAAUAAACAUUUUGUUUAAGUAAAUGUUUAAGUAAACAUUUUUUUAAUUAUUAUUAUUUUAUUUUAUUUUUUUUACAAUUGGUUGCAUUGGUCAUCUUUGAACCAGAACUUUUCCCAUUUUUAAAAAAAUUUAAAAAUAUAGCAGUAGGCUGUGCUAGACAUAAGAACCUUACACUGAAUGUUUGCAUUCAUCUAUCUGGCGAAACUAAAGGUAGCACUUUACAUUGCCUCGUCCCAGAGCUUCAGGAAGUGUUUCAGCUGUUCUGUUUAAAAAUACUGACUCCCAGACCCAAACGCAUGAGAAGAUGGCUCCUCAGACUUGACUUUUGCCCUAACGCACCAUGUGAUGCAUACCACUGCGUGGUGCCAGGGACUUUCACUGACUGCAACAACUCAUACAUAUGUGUAUAUAUACACGGCUGGAAACCAAGUACAGUCAUUUACUUCGUGCUCAUGACUGGUACAAAACCGGAUUUUGUAAAACCACUUGCUAGAUUUGAACCAAAAGUAUCAUAGAUUGGAGUACCACCCAUGUAAGUUAGCUCUACAGCAUCCUGAAAGCUUAUGCGUGAUCCCUCUGUGGUUCCAACAGUAAAAUAUUUGCUGACCAAGUACUUGCUUUACAGGCCUCCUUCCCUUUUAAAAAUUUUAUACAGCCCAAGAGAAAGAGAACACCUAAGAGAAAGUAGAUUCAAUUGCCAGCUCCCGUAUGAUUUUGAGAAUUUACAACUUCUGAAGUUCCAGGUAGCACACUUCUAAUGACAAGCAGAACAUGCCAAACAAUGUAGAAGUUAUUAUGAUGAAUCCAUAUCAAAAGGAGUGCUUAAUUUUCACACCUGACUACACAGCCUUCAAACACCAGCUGCCACUUGCAAAACACUUCCCAUGGCAGCAGGCAGCCAUGCUCUGAACUAUGCAGUCAAGCCUGCCAGAGAAGCAGCUCCAAAUUUUUCCAAGUAGUGCAAAAGCAUAAUGGACCUACCAUAAACUCACCAUUCAACACAGCACAAGCUCCGCACUGCUGUCUUUCCAAAAUGCUGAAUCUGUGCAACCAGAGGUGUAUCCCCAAAGCUAUCUUUUUCUGUAAUUUUAAGUGGGCAAACAGUAUGUCACAGAACUCCAGGGACAGUCAGCUCCUGCUUCAGGGCUCAAAGAAUGCUUUCACAAACAACUUGCACCAA